GGCGCGCCUUUACGUCAGACGGCAGUACGGCGCUUCCUAUUGGCUACCCCCGCGCCCGUACGGCGGAAGCGCUGCUGGGCGCCGCCAUCACGGGCUGCCGGUGAUGGCGCUGCCGGUGGAAGAGUGGCGGCUGUGCGCCGCCCGGCGCUGGGCCGCGCUGGAGCCGGCGCUGCGGGAGCGGUUGGCGGUGGCGUCGCUGCAGGACACGCUGCUUCUGGGCUGCGGCCUCCUCCGGCCUGAGGCGGAGGCGGCGGUUCUGCGGGGGUUGUGCCGCCGGGCGCCCGCGGGUAAGGAGCCGGCGGCCGCUCGCUUCUACCGGGAGGAGGGAAACCGGCGGUUCGGCCGCCGCCAGUACGGUGCCGCCGUGAGGCUCUACUCGCAGGCAGCGUCCCACGAGCUCCCUGGCAGCCCCGAGGUGUCCCUCUGCUUCGCCAACCGCUCCGCCGCCCUCUUCCACCUCGGGCACUUUGAGGUUUGUUUGGAAGAUAUUGCCAGGGCUGAAAGUCAUGGCUAUCCAGACAGGCUGCUGCCCAAGGUCUUGCUUCGGAAGGCUGAAUGUCUGCUGUGUUUGGGGAGGUUACAGGAGGCAGCAAACGCCCUCAGCGCGGUGGAGAAUAAAAUUGCUGUGGAUGGGAUCAUGACUAACCCCGCCCACCAGACACUGCUAAAAAAGUUAAGUCAACUGAAGAUUAAAAUACACGAGAAAGAGAGCUGCCCACAGCCUGCACGAGAAGCACGUGGUGACAUUCAGAGAGAUUCAGAGUUCUGGGAAGAGAAUGACAGUAUUUCGGGUGCAUCUUCGUCUUUGAGCUUAAAUUUUGAUAUGGAGAGAGGACGUCACUUGGUGGCCAGCCAGGACAUCCAGCCAGGACAGAACCUGCUGAAAGAGGAGGCCUUUGUAAGCGUGCUCUGCCCAGGGGAGGGCUUUCUUUUGCAGGACACCAGUGAAACACCAUGGGAUACUCGAGUCACAAACGCAGAUCUUUAUUGCCACCGUUGUCUGAGGCAGCUCUUGGCCUCGGUGCCUUGCCGUGGGUGCAGUUACGCAAAGUACUGCAGCCAAAACUGUGCAGACGUGGCAUGGGAGAGGUACCACAGGACAGAGUGCUCCUUGGGAGCCCUGCUUCUCACAUUAGGGGUCUUCUGCCAUGUUGCCUUGAGGACUGUUCUACUGGCAGGAUUUGCAGAGGUCAGCAGGCUGGUGGAACGGUCCCACGAUGGUGACAAGGACCUUCGUAACCAUGAGGCAAGAUGUAAAUAUCCCAGUGAGGCACCAGAUGUGAGAACUGGUACCAGAGGUAUCCCUGGUUGUAAUGAAAAUGGUCAGUACCAGAGUUCUUACCAAGCUGUGUUCAACCUUUUGCCACACGCUGAGAAGCACAGCCCCGAACAUAAGUUCCUUUGCAUGCUGAGUGUGGUAGCUGUAUGCAAACAACUGCAAGAAGCUGGUCUAGAGGGUGCUGUUUUCAAUCGGGAAUCAUCCGAGAAGUGGCCCAAACCAGAGACAUGUGAAAAAACAUCGGAUGACUUGUCUCCAGAGCUGAAGAUUAUGGCAGAAGCAAUGCUGAGGCAUGUGUUGCAGCUGCAAUGUAAUGCACAAGCAAUCACUGUCAUGCAGGAGUCGGGGUCUGGAGAUGGUGCUGUUGUAAAUAAGAAGCCUGUGCGCCUGGCGACAGCCUUCUUUCCUGUCCUUAGCCUUCUGAACCAUUCGUGCUGUCCCAAUAUCAGUGUGUCAUUUAGUGGGACAGCUGCCACUGUCAGGGCAUCACAGCCCAUCCCAAGCGGCCAAGAGAUUUUCCAUUGCUAUGGGCCUCACCGAUGCAGAAUGAGGGUUGCUGAGAGACAGCAGCUUCUCAGUCAGUAUUUCUUUGCGUGCCGCUGCCAGGCGUGCCUUGAUGAGUUAGAGUCUGACGUCAAGAGCGUGGUGUCCAUGAGAAACUCAUUCUGCUGUCCUAGCUGCCAGGCUUCAAUGCAGGGAGAAGACAUGCUUUGUUGUUCAAAUGAAGCUUGUGCAGUCUCAGUCAGCAGAGAGAGCCUGUCACGCCGUUUGCAGGACCUUCAGCAGCAAAUCAAGAAAGCAUUAGAACUGCUAAAAGACAGGAAGGCUGAUCAGGCUAUCAAACUGCUCCUGAAGUGUCAGAUGGAUGCUGGAAACUUCUUGUCUCCAGAACAUUUGCUGAUGGGAGAGAUGGAGGAUCAUCUGGCACAGGUCUAUGCUACUCUUGGGAAGUGGCAGGAAGCAGCCAGACACCUGGAGAAGAGUAUUGAGAUUGUGGAAGUGCAUCACGGGCCAUCAAGUGUAGAAAUAGGUCACGAACUUUUCAAGUUGGCACAAAUCCUCUUCAAUGGAUUUGCAGUUUCUGAAGCUCUGAGCACAAUUCAAAGAGCAGAGGAGAUUUUGUCAGUGCACUGUGGUCCUCAGAGUACUCAGAUCCAGGAACUACAAGAGAUGAAGACCUGUCUCUUAGAGCUUCCCAGAAGCAUCCUUCAGAGGACUUAAUUUCCCUGUCAAAGGAAGCUGCAGUGUGAUCUUUCAUCAAAGCUAAGUUUCAUGUGGGGUGCUACGAGACGUCACCCGCGAGUUCAGACCGUUCAGUGUCAUUGCUCUACCCCCCAGCACUCACUCCUGAGGCAUCCUGCAACCACUAGGUCUAAAGGAUUUGACUGUCACCAAAACUGUUACCCUCGCAAAGAAAAAGCACGUUCCCAGCUGCAGCACAGAUGCUCCAAGUGCAGAAAACCACCCCAGCUCCCACACGUUCACCCCCGGCGGCAAAGAGGUGCCCUAGGAUGCUGCUGGCUCCCAUCCCUCGGUGAGACCCCCCCCCUCGUUUGGUGGGAAUCCCACCUUUUACCACCUGCAGAAGAACCUUUCUUCCCGUAUCCCAGGUGCU